CUGGAAGGUCUGAGAGGCUGGGUCAGAGUCCCAAAAGGCCUGAAACAGAGGUCCCUCAGCUACACAUCUCUGAAAAGUCUCAAAGCAGUUGGGGGAUUCAACCAGGAUGCCGUCUGGGGACCCUCAGAUGUCGGGCCGAAGACCUGCAGUGGCUUUCCAAGGAGUAAACCAGCACGGCUUGCCGGACCAGCCACCCCAAAAAUACUGGAGCAGGGCGCUCGCUUUGUGAGGAAGGCCACACAUCCUGCCCUCAUCCCCGGGUCUGACACGGCACGGUUUACCCAGUCAACACUCACCCCACAUUGCCAUUUUACUGACUCCUGGGGAGGGAGGCAGAUUCAGGUAAGACUACAAGAAUUUCGUCAGCGGUCCUACCAGAAGGCCAUCCUACAGGGGUGACUGCUCCUGAAAUCCACCUGCCGUGCCACCAGACUGUGUGUGUCCUUGUGACCUGUGAGCCAGACCCUGCUGAUCAGAGACUGCAAAAGGGGUAAGCAGAACCCCUCUGUGUUGUGGGGAAAUCACAGCUCCUGCCGCCUUCCCCUGGAUUGUGCCCUUCGAUGCAUGGACACAGACCACAGCCACUGAUUAUCUGGGCUCCUUCACUGGGGCUGCAGGAGGUUUGCAAAGCUCACAAGACCUCUCACCUCACAGAGCGCUAAGAACUACCAUCCAUG